AAAACCCGACUGUGUACGUGAUGUGUAUUUGCGUUGAGCCAACACAUUGAUGAAGGGUGGUAAUUGCCAUCUAAAGCUGUGGCUCUGAUGGGGUUACCUGCAAUCUAGCAUUGCUAGAACCCACCUUGGCAUUAGGGUUCAUAUGCCUAUCCAACACACGGCACGGUGGGGUUUAU
rnacentral:other from 5 species